GACGAACGCUGGCGGCGUGCUUAACACAUGCAAGUCGAACGGUGACCCUCGGAGCUUGCUUCGGGGUGAACAGUGGCGAACGGGUGAGUAACACGUGAGUAACCCGCCCCUGACUCUGGAAUAAGCGCUGGAAACGGCGUCUAAUACCGGAUACGACACGCCUCCGCAUGGGGAGCGUGUGGAAAGUUUUUCGGUCUGGGAUGGACUCGCGGCCUAUCAGCUUGUUGGUGAGGUAAUGGCUCACCAAGGCGAUGACGGGUAGCCGGCCUGAGAGGGCGACCGGCCACACUGGGACUGAGACACGGCCCAGACUCCUACGGGAGGCAGCAGUGGGGAAUAUUGCACAAUGGGCGAAAGCCUGAUGCAGCGACGCCGCGUGAGGGAUGACGGCCUUCGGGUUGUAAACCUCUUUCAGCAGGGAAGAGGUGAAAGUGACGGUACCUGCAGAAGAAGCACCGGCUAACUACGUGCCAGCCGCCGCGGUAACAC
rnacentral:rRNA from 1 species